rnacentral:rRNA from 1 species
UACAGAGGUCCCAAGCGUUGUUCGGAUUCACUGGGCGUAAAGGGUGCGUAGGUGGUGAGGCAAGUUCGGUGUGAAAUCUCCGGGCUCAACCCGGAAAUGGCAUUGAAAACUGCCCCGCUAGAGGGUUGGAUGGGAGACUGGAAUUCUCGGUGUAGCAGUGAAAUGCGUAGAUAUCGAGAGGAACACCAGUGGCGAAGGCGAGUCUCUGGACAACACCUGACACUGAGGCACGAAAGCUAGGGGAGCAAACAGG